rnacentral:rRNA from 1 species
GACGAACGCUGGCGGCGUGCUUAACACAUGCGAGUCGAACGAUGACGACCGAGCUUGCUCGGUCUGAUUAGUGGCGAACGGGUGAGUAACACGUGAGCAACCUGCCCUUCACUCUGGGAUAACCUCGGGAAAUCGGGGCUAAUACCGGAUAUGAGCUCCUGUCGCAUGGCGGGUGUUGGAAAGUUUUUCGGUGAAGGAUGGGCUCGCGGCCUAUCAGUUUGUUGGUGAGGUAGUGGCUCACCAAGGCGAUGACGGGUAGCCGGCCUGAGAGGGCGACCGGCCACACUGGGACUGAGACACGGCCCAGACUCCUACGGGAGGCAGCAGUGGGGAAUAUUGCACAAUGGGCGAAAGCCUGAUGCAGCGACGCCGCGUGAGGGAUGACGGCCUUCGGGUUGUAAACCUCUUUCAGCAGGGAAGAAGCGAAAGUGACGGUGCCUGCAGAAGAAGCGCCGGCUAACUACGUG